ACCCGCACAAGCGGUGGAUGAUGUGGAUUAAUUCGAUGCAACGCGAAAACCUUACCUACCCUUGACAUGUCCGGAAUCCCGAAGAGAUUUGGGAGUGCUCGCAAGAGAACCGGAACACAGGUGCUGCAUGGCUGUCGUCAGCUCGUGUCGUGAGAUGUUGGGUUAAGUCCCGCAACGAGCGCAACCCUUGUCAUUAGUUGCUACAUUCAGUUGGGCACUCUAAUGAGACUGCCGGUGACAAACCGGAGGAAGGUGGGGAUGACGUCAAGUCCUCAUGGCCCUUAUAGGUGGGGCUACACACGUCAUACAAUGGUCGGUACAGAGGGUUGCCAAGCCGCGAGGUGGAGCCAAUCCCAGAAAGCCGAUCGUAGUCCGGAUUGUUCUCUGCAACUCGAGAGCAUGAAGUCGGAAUCGCUAGUAAUCGCGGAUCAGCAUGUCGCGGUGAAUACGUUCCCGGGUCUU
rnacentral:rRNA from 1 species